rnacentral:rRNA from 1 species
CGGUAAUUCCAGCUCCAAUAGCGUAUACUAAAGUUGUUGCAGUUAAAAAGCUCGUAGUUGGAUUUCUGCGGGGACGGAGCGGCCGGUCGCAACUUGCGACUCGAGCUAGCGCUUUCCCCACAUCCUGCCGCGAACCGUGCUACCAUUAGUUUGGUGGCGCUGGGGAUCGGCUCGAUUACUUUGAGAAAAAUAGAGUGUUCAAAGCAGGCCACACGCCUUGAAUAAGUUAGCAUGGAAUAAUGACUAAGGACUUUGGUUCUUUUCGUUGGUGUUCGGGACUGAAGUAAUGAUUGAUAGGGACAGUUGGGGCGGUCCGUAUUCCAAAGCGAGAGGUGAAAUUCUUAGACCUUCGGAAGACGAACAGCUGCGAAAGCGUUCCGCAAGGAUGUUCCCUUUGAUCAAGAACGAAAGUUGGGGGAUCGAAGACGAUCAGAUACCGUCGUAGUCUCAACUAUAAACUAUACCAGCUAGGGAUCGGCCAACGUUUAAUUAUUCGACUUGGUCAGCACCUUAUGAGAAAUCAAAGCAUCUGGGUUCCGGGGGGAGUAUGGUCGCAAGGCUGAAACUUAAAGGAAUUGACGGAAGGGCACCACCAGCCGUGGAGCCUGUGGCUUAAUUUGACUCAACACGGGAAAACUUACCAGGUCCGGACAUAGUAAGGAUUGACAGAUUGAUAGCUCUUUCUUGAUUCUGUGGGUGGUGGUGCAUGGCCGUUUUUAGUCGAUGGAUGUGAUCUGUCUGCUUAAUUGCGUUAACGGACGAGACCCCAGCCUGCUAAAUAGCGCGGCCGAGCUUUGCUCGGUGCGAGCUUCUUAGAGGGACCAUGAUGCGCGAUAGCACAAGGAAGUUUGGGGCAACAACAGGUCUGUGAUGCCCUUAGAUGUUCUGGGCCGCACACGGGCUACACUGGCGCCUGCAACGAGCAUAUCAGCUGGCCCGAGAGGGUCUUGGCUAAUCUUUGGAACCGGCGCCGUGCUUGGGAUUGACCAUUGCAAUUGUUGGUCAUGCAACGAGGAAUGCCCUGUAAACGCGAGUCAUCAGCUCGCAUUGAAUACGUCCCUGCUCCUUGUACACACCGCCC